GACGAACGCUGGCGGCGUGCUUAACACAUGCAAGUCGAACGAGAAUCUGCGGAAAGAGGAUUCGUCCAAUAGAGGCAGAGGACAGUGGCGGACGGGUGAGUAACGCGUGAGGAACCUGCCUUUCAGAGGGGGACAACAGUUGGAAACGACUGCUAAUACCGCAUGACACAUUGAGGUCGCAUGGCCUUGAUGUCAAAGAUUUAUCGCUGAAAGAUGGCCUCGCGUCUGAUUAGCUAGUUGGUGAGGUAACGGCCCACCAAGGCGACGAUCAGUAGCCGGACUGAGAGGUUGAACGGCCACAUUGGGACUGAGACACGGCCCAGACUCCUACGGGAGGCAGCAGUGGGGAAUCUUCCGCAAUGGACGAAAGUCUGACGGAGCAACGCCGCGUGAACGAUGACGGCCUCGGUUGUAAGUU
rnacentral:rRNA from 1 species